AAGUGCUUACAGAUUUUUGUGAAUUUGUCCAGCGGGUCUUCCAGCUUGCACCGGAAGCCACCCCC